AUGUCUGGGAAACUGCCUGAUGGAGGGGGAUAACUACUGGAAACGGUAGCUAAUACCGCAUAACGUCGCAAGACCAAAGAGGGGGACCUUCGGGCCUCUUGCCAUCGGAUGUGCCCAGAUGGGAUUAGCUUGUUGGUGGGGUAACGGCUCACCAAGGCGACGAUCCCUAGCUGGUCUGAGAGGAUGACCAGCCACACUGGAACUGAGACACGGUCCAGACUCCUACGGGAGGCAGCAGUGGGGAAUAUUGCACAAUGGGCGCAAGCCUGAUGCAGCCAUGCCGCGUGUAUGAAGAAGGCCUUCGGGUUGUAAAGUACUUUCAGCGGGGAGGAA
rnacentral:rRNA from 1 species